rnacentral:misc_RNA from 1 species
GAUGAAGAACGUAGCGAAAUGCGAUAACUAAUGUGAAUUGCAGAAUUCAGUGAAUCAUCGAGUCUUUGAACGCACAUUGCGCCCCCUGGUAUUCCGGGGGGCAUGCCUGUCCGAGCGUCAUUGCUGCCCUCAAGCACGGCUUGUGUGUUGGGCUCCGUCCCCCCGGGGACGGGUCCGAAAGGCAGCGGCGGCACCGAGUCCGGUCCUCGAGCGUAUGGGGCUUUGUCACCCGCUCUGUAGGCCCGGCCGGCGCCAGCCGACAACCAAUCAUCCUUUUUUCAGGUUGACCUCGGAUCAGGUAGGGAUACCCGCUGAACUUAAGCAUAUCAAUAAGCGA